rnacentral:rRNA from 1 species
CGGAAGGGGGCUAGCGUUGUCCGGAAUUACUGGGCGUAAAGCGCGCGCAGGCGGUCCUUUAAGUCGGGGGUGAAAGCCCAGAGCUCAACUCUGGAACUGCCUUCGAAACUAGAGGACUUGGGUACGGGAGAGGUGAGUGGAAUUCCGAGUGUAGAGGUGAAAUUCGUAGAUAUUCGGAAGAACACCAGUGGCGAAGGCGGCUCACUGGCCCGUUACCGACGCUCAGGCGCGACAGCGUGGGGAGCAAACAGGAUUAGAUACCCUGGUAGUCCACGCCGUAAACGAUGGAUGCUAGCCGUUGGUAAGCAUGCUUAUCAGUGGCGCAGCUAACGCAUUAAGCAUCCCGCCUGGGGAGUACGGCCGCAAGGUUG